rnacentral:rRNA from 1 species
CCCUUAGAUGUUCUGGGCAGCACGCGCGCUACAAUGGUCUUCGCAAACGGAUGCAUUCUCGAAGGAGAAUGCCAAUCUUGGAAUCUAUGCCUUGGUCGGGACAGUUGCUUGCAAUUUUUCGACUCGAACCAGGAAUUCCUUGUAAUCGUGAUUCAUCACAUCACGAUGAAUACGUCCCUGCCCUUUGUACACACCGCCCGUCGCUCCUACCGAUCGAAGAGUUAGGUGAAUUGUUUUGAUCGAUAAGAUUUGACUAUGGUCAACUCUCGUUGUGAAAUUCUGUGAAUCUGACUGUUGAGAGGAAGGAAAGGUCGUAACA